GAUGAACGCUGGCGGCGUGCCUAAUACAUGCAAGUCGAGCGAACAGAUGAGGAGCUUGCUCCUCUGACGUUAGCGGCGGACGGGUGAGUAACACGUGGAUAACCUACCUAUAAGACUGGGAUAACUUCGGGAAACCGGAGCUAAUACCGGAUAAUAUAUUGAACCGCAUGGUUCAAUAGUGAAAGACGGUUUUGCUGUCACUUAUAGAUGGAUCCGCGCCGCAUUAGCUAGUUGGUAAGGUAACGGCUUACCAAGGCAACGUUGCAUAGCCGACCUGAGAGGGUGAUCGGCCACACUGGAACUGAGACACGGUCCAGACUCCUACGGGAGGCAGCAGUAGGGAAUCUUCCGCAAUGGGCGAAAGCCUGACGGAGCAACGCCGCGUGAGUGAUGAAGGUCUUCGGAUCGUAAAACUCUGUUAUUAGGGAAGAACAAAUGUGUAAGUAACUAUGCACGUCUUGACGGUACCUAAUCAGAAAGCCACGGCUAACUACGUG
rnacentral:rRNA from 1 species